UACGUAGGGGGCAAGCGUUGUCCGGAAUCAUUGGGCGUAAAGAGCGUGUAGGCGGCCUGGUAAGUCCGCUGUGAAAGUCCAGGGCUCAACCCUGGAAUGCCGGUGGAAACUGUCAGGCUCGAGUCCGGAAGAGGCGAGUGGAAUUCCUGGUGUAGCGGUGAAAUGCGCAGAUAUCAGGAGGAACACCAAUGGCGAAGGGCAGCUCGCUGGGACGGUACUGACGCUGAGACGCGAAAGCGUGGGGAGCAAACAGG
rnacentral:rRNA from 1 species